AUGCACGCUGGCGGCGUGCCUCAUACAUGCCAGUCGAGCGAACAGACGAGGAGCUUGCUCCUUUGACGUUAGCGGCGGACGGGUGAGUAACACGUGGGUAACCUACCUAUAAGACUGGGAUAACUUCGGGAAACCGGAGCUAAUACCGGAUAAUAUUUCGAACCGCAUGGUUCGAUAGUGAAAGAUGGCUUUGCUAUCACUUAUAGAUGGACCUGCGCCGUAUUAGCUAGUUGGUAAGGUAACGGCUUACCAAGGCAACGAUACGUAGCCGACCUGAGAGGGUGAUCGGCCACACUGGAACUGAGACACGGUCCAGACUCCUACGGGAGGCAGCAGUAGGGAAUCUUCCGCAAUGGGCGAAAGCCUGACGGAGCAACGCCGCGUGAGUGAUGAAGGUCUUCGGAUCGUAAAACUCUGUUAUUAGGGAAGAACAAACGUGUAAGUAACUGUGCACGUCUUGACGGUACCUAAUCAGAAAGCCACGGCUAACUACGUG
rnacentral:rRNA from 1 species